CUCCGUGUCUGGUCGCAAUUACAAAGCAUUUAAAAACAAUAACAAUAAAGUUUUAAGUAUCAGGCGUGACAUUAAAAGCAGACGCUUUAAUGCUCCACCUGAGAGUAAAUCUGUAAGGCUUGUUACCAGCAUUCAGACAUCAAUUCUGCUUGCUUCACAGCCAGACAGGACACGGUAAAUAAAAAUAAAUAAAUAAAUAAAUUAGAUUACUGCCCCAGACUGCAGCCAGCAACAGACCAGACCGCGUGAAUCCAGAAACCAACAGUCUUAUCUUCUUUAUUCCUGUUUGCUGUGGCCCUCUCCAUCCUCACUGGCUGAGCUGCAGAUAUCUGCAUUUUUCUGACUAGCUGGCUUCACUUAUGACUGCAGACAAAAAAAGAGUAAAACAUAAAACUACUGGUUAAAAGUAUUGAUUUUCUAUCAUUUAGAAGUUUUGCUUUAGCAUUUUUAAUUAUUAUGACAUGAGUUGUAAUUUUAACACCAUGUAUUUAAUUGAAAUAGGAGAAAUAUCAGAUGUUUAAUAAAUCACAAACAUUUGGAAUGUUUUAAUAAACUGUAAAGCCUUAGUUUAUAAAUAAAAAAUGUUUAUUUAGAUGUUGAGGACGACACAAAUCAUUGAUGAUGUGUAACUAAACUUCAUUUUUUGAUUCAACAAACAAGUACAAAGUCUCAAGUCCUUUUACCUUGUAGUAUCACAGUAAUAUUUGAGCACGGCAAACAAAAGAUGUAUUUAAGGCUUGAGUCACAAAGAAAGCACAAAGCUGACCUGCAGAGCCUGACAGGAAAUGGAUGUAACAGUGAUUUUUACACUGUUGUUAAUCUGCUCUCUUACUGAGGCUCAGCUUCAACAACAACCUGAUCCUAACUCAAAUUCAUAUUUGAAGCCAGCAGGUUCCCAUGUAGAAGCAGGAAAUCCCUCAGAGCACCAACAAACAUGUACACAGGACAUCAAUGCUGUACUGAGAGAGAUGAGUGCCUCGCUGGCUGGACUGAAGGUGGAGGUGAAGUACUUACAGAAAGAAAAUGAAGCUAAAACACGAGAACUGGAGCUGCAGAAGCAACAGGACCAAGGUAUUGGAAACAAUGAAAAAAAAAACAGUAAAUGUAAAAGUUACAAAUCAGGAAUAAGAAGGGCCUCUUUACUUGUAAGUGCUACUUUUGGUUACUGUUUAAAAACCAGUUAAUUGUUUUCUUAAUUUUUUAGCAAAUAAAAAAGAACUGGAGCUGCUGAAACAACAGGACCAAGGUAUUCACUCACCAGCACGCUUGUGACAGUAUGUUGACUAAGUACAGCUAGAGUAACUCAAUAGAAAUAAUACUGAUGCUUGAUCUUUUUUUCCUAAACACUAACAGCUAAAACACGAGAACUGGAGCUGCUGAAACAACAGGACCAAGGUAUUGGAAACGAUGAAAAAAAAACAGUAGAUGUAAAAGUUACAAAUCAGAAAUAAGAAGGGCCUUUUUACUUGUAAGUGCUACUUUUGGUUACUGUUUAAAAACCAGUUAAUUGUUUUCUUAAUUUU
rnacentral:lncRNA from 1 species